UUUUUAUAAAAGUAUGGCAUAUAUCAAUAUAAGUCCAGGAAUCACAUUUUCUCAAUGCACAAACUAUCAUACAUAACAAAAGAAACCAAUAUGAUUAAUUACACUACCUCAGUGUCAUCACAUCGUCAAAUACAAGUAAAUGUUCCACUGUGUACUUGGACCAUGCAUGUUAUGAUUAAUGAAUGCAAUGCAUUUGUAAUAUUAUAUUAUGUAUGCAAUGCAUCAUUCACCCAUACAAUUGUUUCAUAAAUUCAGUAAUACAUUACAAUUAGAGGAUAUCUUAAUUGUAAAUCAAUUCUGAAAACUUUAGCUAGUUGUUUGUUUAAAUUGUGAAUCUCUACUUUAAAUUCCACAUUCAAAUAAGGAAGAAUGGACCAGGCUCGACCAUCGGCAACCUGAUCAAAGACAACAUGAUCAGACAAAUAUGAUCAAAGGAUGCUUGGAUCAUACGCAGCAUUAUCAGAGGCAUAUUCUGAUCAGAGUCAGUAUGAUCAAAGGAUGCUUGGAUUAGAGGCGGCAUGACCGGAGGCAAAUUUUGAUAAGAGGAUGCUUGGAUCAGAGAUAGCUUGAUCAGAGGUAGCAUGAUCAGAGCAUGCUUGGAUUAGAGGCAACAUAAUCAGAGGCAGGUUCUGACAGAGGAAGCAUGAUUAUGGAAUGCUUGGAUCAACGACGACAUGAUCAGAGGUAGAUUCUAAUCAGAGACAAACAAAAGAAAAACAACAAAGGCACACAAGAAAAACAAUAGAGGCACACAAAAACAAUGGAGCAAAUAGAAGAGAAACAACAGAGGCAAGGAAGAGGAAAAUCAGAGACAUAUGUACUAGCCUUGGGUGUGGAUCUAUACAUCUAAACUAUGAUUCAUUCAUCAUAAUUUCAUGGAUUCUAAUUCACUAUCAACACACUCAUCGCGAUUAAAAACAAACAACAUGGAUGACUUUUAAAUAAAACCUUGAGUGCAGAAUUCCCAAAAUUCCUAUAUGCUUAAAAGAUACAUUCCCUCUCAUUUUCAUAUUUACAUUAAACCCCAUUAAACCCAAAAAAUAAUUUUAUUAUUAAUGGAGAUUUUUAAUUGAAUUAACCUAAGAAUCCUCAUGCUAAAUGAAUUUUAAUUUAAAAGAACUCACUGCUUCUAAGAGUUAUCCUUUGAAAUUUGAACUGAUUAGAGAAAAAGUUGGCUCCAGUAGUUCUUGGUUCUCCUUAAAAUCAUGUCUCUGUUCUAGGCUUGGAAAUCCCUCUUUCUUGUUCGUCAUUUCACUGUGUCACUGCUCUUGGUUGAUUCUCGAAUAUUGAGGGGGUAGGAUCGUGCAUGUAAUGCUUUUGGACAUGUCUGAGGGACUUAGGUGAGCCUUUACUUUUUGGAAGACUUUGAAGAUAAGGGGAAAAUAGAGAAUUGGAAGGGAUGAUGAACAAUGUUGUUUUGGGUGUUCUUCCGUCUUCAACUACAUGAAAUUAGGGAAAUGAAGAAAAAUGCUUACUCC
rnacentral:lncRNA from 1 species